GGGCUUGUAAUGGUUUCGACGGGGAUUUUGAACGUGGGGCAGCCAUCCGUGGACCAGGACCACGCAAAAACUUGGAAUUAAAUAUAAACGCUGAUAAUAGAGUAUUAGCAGCUGCUUAAUUGCAGCAGUCGGAUCCGGUAAACCUGCAGACCGGAAACCCGGCUUCGAAUAAUGCAGGACCCUCAUGUCACUAAGCUUUGCCUGGCAUGAAGUAUUAUGAAGCUACUGAAAUCUGAAGUUUGUCUUUAGACGUCAGAUGGAGGGAAUGUCAAAUUAAAGACUGUGAUGGGAGAUACCGUGCGGAAUAGGUUUUCGGACGCGGGUUCGAUUCCCGCCAGGUCCA
rnacentral:tmRNA from 1 species